AGUGAACGCUGGCGGUAGGCCUAACACAUGCAAGUCGAACGGCAGCACAGUAAGAGCUUGCUCUUACGGGUGGCGAGUGGCGGACGGGUGAGGAAUACAUCGGAAUCUACUUUUUCGUGGGGGAUAACGUAGGGAAACUUACGCUAAUACCGCAUACGACCUACGGGUGAAAGCAGGGGAUCUUCGGACCUUGCGCGAUUGAAUGAGCCGAUGUCGGAUUAGCUAGUUGGCGGGGUAAAGGCCCACCAAGGCGACGAUCCGUAGCUGGUCUGAGAGGAUGAUCAGCCACACUGGAACUGAGACACGGUCCAGACUCCUACGGGAGGCAGCAGUGGGGAAUAUUGGACAAAGGGCGCAAGCCUGAUCCAGCCAUACCGCGUGGGUGAAGAAGGCCUUCGGGUUGUAAAGCCCUUUUGUUGGGAAAGAAAAGCAGCAGGUUAAUACCCCGCUGUUCUGACGGUACCCAAAGAAUAAGCGCCGGCUAACUUCGUG
rnacentral:rRNA from 1 species